UACAGAGGUCCCAAGCGUUGUUCGGAUUCACUGGGCGUAAAGGGUGCGUAGGUGGCAGGGUAAGUUUGAUGUGAAAUCUCCGAGCUUAACUCGGAAACUGCAUUGAAUACUAUCCUGCUCGAGGAUUGGAGGGGGGACUGGAAUUCUCGGUGUAGCGGUGAAAUGCGCAGAUAUCAGGAGGAACACCGAUGGCGAAGGCAGGUCUCUGGGCCACUACUGACGCUGAGAAGCGAAAGCAUGGGGAGCGAACAGG
rnacentral:rRNA from 1 species